AGAGUUUGAUCCUGGCUCAGGAUGAACGCUAGCGGCAGGCUUAAUACAUGCAAGUCGAGGGGCAGCGGGAGUAGCAAUACUUGCCGGCGACCGGCGCACGGGUGCGUAACGCGUAUGCAAUCUACCUUUAACAGAGGGAUAGCCCCGAGAAAUCGGGAUUAAUACCUCAUAAUAUUUUUUUAUGGCAUCAUAAGAAAAUCAAAGCUGAGGCGGUUAGAGAUGAGCAUGCGUGACAUUAGCUAGUUGGUGAGGUAACGGCUCACCAAGGCGACGAUGUCUAGGGGUUCUGAGAGGAUGAUCCCCCACACUGGUACUGAGACACGGACCAGACUCCUACGGGAGGCAGCAGUAAGGAAUAUUGGUCAAUGGGCGCGAGCCUGAACCAGCCAUGCCGCGUGCAGGAAGACGGCCUUAUGGGUUGUAAACUGCUUUUAUCGGGGAAUAAAUCUUUCUACGUGUAGAGAGUUGAAGGUACCCGAAGAAUAAGCAUCGGCUAACUCCGUGCCAGCAGCCGCGGUAAUACGGAGGAUGCAAGCGUUAUCCGGAUUCAUUGGGUUUAAAGGGUGCGCAGGCGGAUUAUUAAGUCAGUGGUGAAAUCUAACGGCUCAACUGUUAAGCUGCCAUUGAUACUGAUAGUCUAGAGUAUAGUUGAAGUGGGCGGAAUGUGUCAUGUAGCGGUGAAAUGCUUAGAUAUGACACAGAACACCGAUCGCGAAGGCAGCUCACUAAACUAAAACUGACGCUCAUGCACGAAAGCGUGGGGAUCAAACAGGAUUAGAUACCCUGGUAGUCCACGCCGUAAACGAUGAUUACUCGAUGUUGGCGAUACACAGUCAGCGUCUGAACGAAAGUAUUAAGUAAUCCACCUGGGGGAGUACGUUCGCA
rnacentral:rRNA from 1 species